UUUGAUCCUGGCUCAGGAUGAACGCUGGCGGCGUGCCUAACACAUGCAAGUCGAGCGAAGUUUAUGGAAUGAAGCCUUCGGGUGGAAUGAAAUAAACUUAGCGGCGGACGGGUGAGUAACGCGUGGGCAACCUACCUUGUACAGGGGGAUAACAGUCGGAAACGAUUGCUAAUACCGCAUAAUACUACUUUGAGGCAUCUUAGAGUAGUCAAAGAUUUAUUGGUACAAGAUGGGCCCGCGUCUGAUUAGCUAGUUGGUGGGGUAAUGGCCUACCAAGGCGACGAUCAGUAGCCGACCUGAGAGGGUGACCGGCCACACUGGAACUGAGACACGGUCCAGACUCCUACGGGAGGCAGCAGUGGGGAAUAUUGCACAAUGGGGGAAACCCUGAUGCAGCGACGCCGCGUGAGCGAUGAAGGCCUUCGGGUCGUAAAGCUCUGUUCCGAGGGAAGAUAAUGACGGUACCUCGGAAGAAAGCCCCGGCUAACUACGUGCCAGCAGCCGCGGUAAUACGUAGGGGGCAAGCGUUAUCCGGAAUCACUGGGCGUAAAGGGUGCGUAGGCGGCCAAUAAAGUCAGAGGUGAAAGGCUACGGCUCAACCGUAGUAAGCCUUUGAAACUGUUUGGCUUGAGUGCAGGAGAGGAGAGUGGAAUUCCUAGUGUAGCGGUGAAAUGCGUAGAUAUUAGGAGGAACACCAGUGGCGAANGCGACUCUCUGGACUGUAACUGACGCUGAGGCACGAAAGCGUGGGGAGCAAACAGGAUUAGAUACCCUGGUAGUCCACGCCGUAAACGAUGAGUGCUAGGUGUUGGANGGAGACCUUCAGUGNCGACGCUAACGCAUUAAGCACUCCGCCUGGGGAGUACGCUCGCAAGANUGAAACUCNAAGGAAUUGACGGGGACCCGCACAAGCAGCGGAGCNNGUGGUU
rnacentral:rRNA from 1 species